UUUUUUUUUUUUUGGUUGUGUUUUUGAAAAAAUAAAAAUUGAAAAAAAGAAAAGAUAAAAAAAAUUUCAUUAUUAUCCAUAUACGUUGCCUUGAUGAUUAAUUAUACUUCCAGACUUUAAAUAAUUUUAAUUUUACUCUUAAAGUUUUUAAAAUCAUAUUCAUUUGCCUUCUACUGCCAUAUUUAAACAGAAAAAGUCAAAAAAAAAUUUAUAUGUGAAUUCAAAUUUCAAAACAAAGAUGCAAACUCACCUUCUCAUUAUUUCCCUAAAUUACCCAAAUCCCUCGGCCACUCCUCCCUUCUCCACCGUCAUCUUCCCCGCCACCACCACCACCAAGAAGCCCUUUGCUCUCACUAUAUACAUCAAAUCGUCUCUAUCAACACAAGACACAGUAAUACAUGACUCAAUCUGGGUUUGAAUCUGAUUCGAUUCAUCAAAUCGUCUCUAUCAACACAAGAAACAAAUAAUACAUGACUCAAAAGGUUCGAGCCGUACUUGAAGAAUGCUUGCAAGAGAUUUGUGAUGAAAAAAAACCGACAUUCAUCAUCGAUGAUAACCCUAACAAGGACAUCAUUGUGUUCUAUUAUUGUCCCCAAUCUCCUUACAAAAGUCAAACUUUCGUAUUGUGUUGUUUUGCCUCCAAUUCCCUACUAAAUUAAAAAAAAACUUUUGGGUAAGGAUUUGAAUCCUGUUGAUGUUGGGAAACUGGUAGCGAUGGGUGGCGUCGUCACUCGCACCAGUGAGGUUAGACCAGAGCUUCUCCAGGGAAGUUCUGCGAAUUUGGAACCAAACGACGGGGGCUCGGUGAAAUUUGAAAUUUGAGGUGAAAAUGUAAUUUUUUUUGAAUUUUUUCCCUUUAAAUGUAGCGGUACAUUUUUAAAAAUUUUGAAAAUAAAAUUAAAGUUAUAAGUA